rnacentral:rRNA from 1 species
UACAGAGGAUGCAAGCGUUAUCCGGAAUGAUUGGGCGUAAAGCGUCUGUAGGUGGCUUUUUAAGUCCGCCGUCAAAUCCCAGGGCUCAACUCUGGACAGGCGGUGGAAACUACCAAGCUGGAGUACGGUAGGGGCAGAGGGAAUUUCCGGUGGAGCGGUGAAAUGCGUAGAUAUCCGGAGGAAUACCAAAGGCGAAGGCAGUGUCCUGGCUGGCAUCUGACGCUGAGGCGCGAAAGCUAGGGGAGCAAACAGG